GCUCCACCCCCUCGGCGCGGACCGGAGCGGGGCGGCGGGCGGUGUGCCGGGGCUGGGCGAAAAACAAGUCCCAGGGCCGAGCUCCCCAGCAAGAGCUAAGUCUCAGGUCCGAAAUGGCUCGCAGGCCUGAAAGGGAGCGUGCACUGAGUCUGGAAAAUACAGCGCGAGCCCUCGGGCUGCAGGGAAAGGUGAAUCUGCCUCCCCUCCCCGCGGCUGAGCUGUUCACCGAGAGCCAAACAGCAGCCAAACAGCAACAGACCUGACCCUGACAGCGCCGGAGCAAUCAAGUUCUCUUUAAAUUUUAUAUACUAUUGAAAUUUCCCUCCUUCCUUUCCGAUCAUAACCAAACAACGCUAAAUGGGCCGCAGAAUGCAGGAACAAUCAGGGGGACGGGACCAUGGCCUAUUUUCAAUGUGAAAUUUAUUUUUGGAAUCACAUUGAAUCUCAUGCAGAAUAAUUGAAAAAAGUCAUACUUUGACAUAUAGUAAAACUGAAAAA